rnacentral:lncRNA from 1 species
CAGGUGAAAACCUGGUCGUGUCAGCAAACUCCAGGGUGUGCAAGCGUCACUUUAAAGCCGAAGACAUCGUUCGGGAAACAAGCUAUAUUGAUCAAGCCACCGGCCGCACAGUGACCGCACCGCUCUCACGUUCGCGGCUUCGAGCUGAGGCAGCACCGACGGUAUUCCCUGAUUGCCCAAGCUACCUGUCUAUAGAAAGCUCUAGAAGAGAGGACCCAGAGAGCAAGCGAAUGCGCUUAGAGGCCGCUUCCCUUGAGAAAGUGCUCGCCGAGUCAAUUCUCACUGC